rnacentral:rRNA from 1 species
CGUCUAGGCGGGUCGGUUAGUCAGAUGUGAAAUCCCACGGCUCAACCGUGGAAUUGCAUUUGAUACUGCCGGUCUUGAGUACGGAAGAGGAAAGCGGAAUUCCUGGUGUAGCGGUGAAAUGCGUAGAUAUCAGGAAGAACACCGGUGGCGAAGGCGGCUUUCUGGUCCGAUACUGACGCUGAAGCGCGAAAGUGUGGGGAGCAAACAGGAUUAGAUACCCUGGUAGUCC